rnacentral:misc_RNA from 1 species
GUAUUUUGUUUUUUAAAGGCACAACAGGCCAUUUGACAACAUUCUGUUACAUUCUUGUGGGGUAUAAUAAAAACAUAGACCUGAAAUGCAAGGAAAGCUGACUUUUUUUUUUUUUAGCACAGCAGUCCUCAAACAGAGUUUCCUCACAGAGGUAACUUGUAACUCCAGAUCUACAAAGGGUGCACAGGUGGUUAAAAAGUGGCAUUAGGUGUGCACAUGCUCUUAAGAGCCAGCAGCAACCCAACCAAGUUUAUUCAAUAAUGAUCCUUCCGCAGGUUCACCUACGGAAA